GCUCAGGACGAACGCUGGCGGCGUGCCUAAUACAUGCAAGUCGAACGAACGGAGGAAGAGCUUGCUCUUCCAAAGUUAGUGGCGGACGGGUGAGUAACACGUGGGCAACCUGCCUGUAAGUUGGGGAUAACUCCGGGAAACCGGGGCUAAUACCGAAUGAUAAAGUGUGGCGCAUGCCACGCUUUUGAAAGAUGGUUUCGGCUAUCGCUUACAGAUGGGCCCGCGGUGCAUUAGCUAGUUGGUAGGGUAAUGGCCUACCAAGGCAACGAUGCAUAGCCGACCUGAGAGGGUGAUCGGCCACACUGGGACUGAGACACGGCCCAGACUCCUACGGGAGGCAGCAGUAGGGAAUCUUCCGCAAUGGACGAAAGUCUGACGGAGCAACGCCGCGUGUAUGAAGAAGGUUUUCGGAUCGUAAAGUACUGUUGUUAGAGAAGAACAAGGAUAAGAGUAACUGCUUGUCCCUUGACGGUAUCUAACCAGAAAGCCACGGCUAACUACGUGCC
rnacentral:rRNA from 1 species